CAAUAGCGUAUAUUAAAGUUGUUGCAGUUAAAAAGCUCGUAGUUGGAUUUCUGGUGGGAGCGAUCGGUCUGGCGCUUAGCGCGAGUACUUGCAUCGUCUCCGGCCAUCCUUGGGGAGAGUCUGUCUGGCAUUAGGUUGUCGGGCAGAGGAUACUCAUCGUUUACUGUGAAAAAAUUAGAGUGUUCAAAGCAGGCUUAUGCCGUUGAAUAUAUUAGCAUGGAAUAAUAAGAUAGGACUUUGGUACUAUUUUGUUGGUUUGCGCACCAAAGUAAUGAUUAAUAGGGACAGUUGGGGGUAUUCGUAUUCCGUUGUCAGAGGUGAAAUUCUUGGAUUUACGGAAGACGAACUACUGCGAAAGCAUUUACCAAGGAUGUUUUCAUUAA
rnacentral:rRNA from 1 species